UACGAAGGGGGCUAGCGUUGCUUGGAAUCACUGGGCGUAAAGCGCACGUAGGCCGAUUGUUAAGUCAGGGGUGAAAUCCUGGAGCUCAACUCCAGAACUGCCCUUGAUACUGACGGUCUCGAGUCCGGGAGAGGUGAGUGGAACUGCGAGUGUAGAGGUGAAAUUCGUAGAUAUUCGCAAGAACACCAGUGGCGAAGGCGGCUCACUGGCCCGGUACUGACGCUGAGGUGCGAAAGCGUGGGGAGCAAACAGG
rnacentral:rRNA from 1 species